UCCUCCGUGGCGCAAUUGGCCAGCGCGUCUGACUGUUACUAUUAUAAGUACAUCAGGAGGUUCGUGGUUCGAGCCCACGCGGGGGAG